UUACGGACAUAUCACGUUGCAACACCGGUUCUUGUGCGAUCACCGAAGUAAAGCAACAUCGAUCUUGGUCAGUACCGAGAUGAGUAACCAUUUGGGAGUACCAGGU